CUAAAAAACCUCUUUAGUCCCCGCGUUGUGGGACACAUGUUUUAGAUCAGGCUGAUUUCUGCAUAUUCCCUUCAUCUUGUUGAUUCACACCUGAUAAAUGGGUUUUGAUGGUAGACAGAUGCCAUGGUAGCCCCUCAAGAAUACCUAUGGUUGGCAUCCCAUCAUAAAUGUUCUUUAUUGUGUGGCCCACUGGAGUUGUGGAUCUAGCUGAAUUUUGGCCCCAGCGUCUGGCAUUGAGGAUCUCAGCUGCUGGACGGAGUGGAUUUCACAUAUACAAAUGGUGGGACCCAAAGAGCUUGGGGCUUUUACGUGCUUUGUAAAACAGGUUCGUAAGUCUUAUGGAAGGUCAUUUUUGGCUUGAAAGCGAGGGCUUGGGCAAGGGAUGCACUGCGGCAUUUGUUGUGAAGCUUGGGAUCAACAACAAUUCAAAUAAACAAGUGCCAAGGGCCCGACCAAAUUACAUCACAGAUCUUUCAGGACCAAAUGCUCGUUUUAGAGAAGACAUUGGGGUAAUUUCUACUCAACCUCGAUAUCAGCGAAGUCUUUAGAUGCCCACGGAAUGUUCUAGCAUUUUGGAAUCUCAUACCCAAGAUGAUUUCACAAUCUCGAACCAGUUUUGAUAUGGUUCAAGCCUAAAACAGGCUGCAAAAUUGCUUGGUCCACAUUUCCAAUGCGAAGGAUCGGAUCAACUUGCCAAUUGGAACUAAAUGAGGAUUUAUGUGCAUAUAAGAAGGGGCUUUGACUUUCCAAAGAAUGGUGAAUCAGAAGCAAGGUAUCAUUUGAAUGUAUGGUUAUUGAAAAUGUGUCAUUUGAAUGUCUGAUAUUUUAUAAUUAGAGGAAAUAUUUAUUGUUGGUGAAA